AUGGAGGAGAUGAGGAAGGCGCUUGAGGAGUUGAUCCAGAAAUCAGUGGGGAACAUCACCACGAAAUUUGAGGAGCACUCAGCGGAAUUGAAGAAAGAGGUCUCCGCCUUGUCCAAACAGGUGGAAGAUUUUGGGGGCGACUUCGACACCGUCAAGCGUCAACACGCCGAGACCCUGCGCGUCUCGCCUCCCCUACGUACUCCGUUGCAGGCCGACAAGGGAGUCCCCCGUCUCGCCAACAACGGGCCACCCCUUCUCCCAGGGCACGCGCGGCCACUAGCAGCCGACGAGCAGUCCGACCGUGGGGCGGAUGCUGCAGCACCGGACCACGGGGAUUGUCGCGCGAAGCCGCCCAAGCACAAUUUUCCGGUCUUCAACGGCGACCACCCCUUGUUGUGGGUGGAUCUCUGCUACAUCUACUUCGACAUGUAUCGUGUCCCAGCGCACCACUGGGUCAGCACUGCCUCACUGUAUUUUGAGGGCCACGCGGCGCUCUGGCUGCAGGCAUACAAGCGUCAGCAUCGCUUGUUGCGUUGGGACUCAUUCAUCGCUGCUGUCGCUGACGAGUUUGGCGCCGAUGAAUUUGAUGGCCAGAUGUCCACACUGCUGCAACUCAAGCAGACCGGCUCCGUCGUCGAUUUACCUUUGGUCUCAGUGAUGAGGUGCGUGCUGCAGUGCGGCUCCAGAAGCCGACCAGUGUCACACGAGCUGUUUCUCUUGCUCGCAUCCAGGAGGAGGAGAAUCUGCACAAUCGUCCUCGAGGGCGUCCUCCAGCACCCACGAAACACCCGCCGGCACUACCUGCGGCUCCAUCCAUUUCUGCCACCCCUCGAGUGGAUGUGCCUCCACGCCGCUCUGGCGAUGACUUUGCGCGUGAGCGACAACUGCGUGACUUUCGCCGUGCCAAUGGGUUGUGUUAUAAGUGUGGUGACAAAUAUGCCAAAGACCAUCAAUGCAAGAAGCCGGGACAAAUUCUGA
rnacentral:rRNA from 1 species